rnacentral:misc_RNA from 1 species
GAUGAAGAACGCAGCGAAAUGCGAUACGUAAUGUGAAUUGCAGAAUUCAGUGAAUCAUCGAAUCUUUGAACGCAUAUUGCGCUCUCUGGUAUUCCGGAGAGCAUGCUUGUUUGAGUAUCAGUAAACACCUCAACUUCCAUAUCUUUUUUGAAAUGGGAGUUGGACUUGAGUGAUCCCAACGCUUUUCCUCACCGAAAAGUGGCGGGUUACUUGAAAUGCAGGUGCAGCUGGACUUUUCUCUGAGCUAUAAGCAUAUCUAUUUAGUCUGCCUAAAAAACAGAUUAUUACCUUUGCUGCAGCUAACAUAAAGGAGAUUAGUUCUUGUGCUGACUGAUGCAGGAUUCACAAAGACAGGCUUAGGCCGACUUUGUAAACUCGAUCUCAAAUCAAGUAAGACUACCCGCUGAACUUAAGCAUAUCAGUAAGCGGAGGA